CCAAUAUCCACAGUUAAGGUCUAGAGUGGAGAAAAUGGAUGCCCCGGAGAGUGAUUCUAGGAUCUCAGUGAUGUUCGGAAGAGGAACUACAGGUGAGGCCCAAGCAGAAUGUGAUGGCUCCACAAUCCCCUCUUUCAACAUUACUUCCAAUUGUUCCUCCAUUGCUUGUUGCUUGACAGGGGAUAACCGAUAUGGCCGUUGUUUGAUAGGAACCUGGCAGGUAGUAUAGAUGUAAUGUUGUAGGACAUCCGUUUGCCCAGUUUGGUGAGUACAUACUUGUGGGUUGCUUUCUAAUAUCUGAAGUAGCUGUUGUUUUCCACCCAUAGGUAGAUGUGCUUUACUUACAGCAUCUCUAAUUAAGGUUGCAUCAUCCACACUGCCAGUUUGUAACAUGGUUAAGGGAGGAGGAACAGCACUUAACAAGGUUAGGUUUAGUUUGCCUUUGCUAGUUCUUUUCUUUUCCUUCAUUGGUGGGGAGUUCACCAGUGGUUCACUAGCAUUUCCAGGUUGGAAUGGAUGUUCUUCAGAAGGGUCUGACUGAAAAUAAUAUUUUUGUUCACUGACAUUAAUUUGCAAGCCACUGAAAAAAAUGAAGUCCAAUCCCAAGAUGAUGGCAUAAGCAAGAGCUUGAGAAGGGAGAACCACAGCAGGUACGGUGAUGGAUUUUUUGUGCAGAUGAACAUUAAUGUUUAUCCAUCCUAAAGGACCCUCAGCUUUGCCAUUAGCUAAGUAAAAAAAGGACCACAGGACCAAGGUUGGAGAUGAAGAGGGUUUGCAAUUUGCUCCAUAAGAUUCUCAUGAAUUAACGUGUAACUUGCUCCAGUAUCCACGAUCGCUUUCCCAGACCAAGAUCCAAUGCUAAUUGGAACUACUAAUUGUUGAGGUAUGGUCAUGAAUGCAUUUGAUCUUGGAAUCUUCUGAGUUUCUGCUUGUGCCUGUGGUAUUUCAGAGGCUGCUACAGUGUUAUUGGAUGGUCGGCCUCCUGACUUUGCAGAGUGGUGAGAAUACUUUUCAUGGGUGAAAUGUUGUUGAUGUUGACCAGAAGACUGCGGAGAAGGAGGAUGUACAUACUUUGGACAGUUUCCUGGAGGAUGCGGUCCGUUACAUCUCCAACACUGAACAAACGGUUUCUCAGCAGAUCGGUUGGAUAAUUGUUUUUGUGAAUUGGCUUGUUGUUUAAAGCCCAUACGACCUUCAUACCGAAGCUGUUCUUCAUGGUCUUUUUCCAAUUGGUGUCCAAGUCUUACCAAAUCUUCAACAGUGUUCACACGACUGCGUAACUGACUUGCAAGUGCGGACACGUUCAGCCAGCUCAUCCUCAUAGUCCUCAGACAAAAAAGCAGAGAGAAAUGCAGACUCAAACUCCUUCCAAGUGUUUAUAUGGAAGCGACUUACUUCCCACCAGUCGCGUGCAGUGCCAUGCAACACUGUGCGGAAGGUAGCCAGGAGAUCUGCAUCAUUUAAAGGAUGUAGAGCCAGAAAAUCUUGACACUUGGUCAAGUACAACAGGGGGUCAGCAUCAUCAGUAGGACGCCCAAAAGUGGGAAAUGUUAAUUUAAUAUGGUCACUUUUGAAAGGUGUUGAAACAAUCUCUGUUGGGGGAAAAAUAGAAACUUGAGUGUUUUUUUCUGUUUGCACUUUAGCCUUGUCUUCCUUUAAGACUUGAACAUCAUGUUGCAGCUCAGCUACACCAGUACGACAUUUGUGAAUUUGUGUUUCACAUUGCUGAAGAUUGGUGGUUACCUGAUCAAGGCUACCCUGAAGUGCACGUUGCAUAGCUUUAAUAUCUUGUUGGAUCUCCAUACGUAGCUGUUCUACCUUAUCCCGGACUACAGAAUCAUUAGUGUGACAACCUGUUGAUUGUUGGUCUCCACCUU
ensembl:lncRNA